rnacentral:lncRNA from 1 species
AGAAUCCAAGGUGAAUGUCCACAAAAAAUCGGUCCAUUCCAGGUUACUGACUGUCCCCAUUCGAAUCUGAAACACAGUCAACAGACUAUGCAUGGGCUAGUGAAUACUGGGCCAGUGCUCAAAUCAGAUGGCAUCAGCAGCUGCAAACUCAGAUCUAUCCUUGCCCUUCCUGAGGCCUGGCUUUGAUUACUGGGCCCCCCACCACGAGCCAACACAUGGCCAUGAGCGCAUACCAACUCAGUGCACAACCUCUGAGCAACCACUUGGAAACAAUCAAGAGAUAGUGAAAGUCACAGUCCCGGAGGAAACUAUUGGAAUCAUUUGACAGCUGUGUUUGGCGAGCUUCUUGCAUGAGUUUUGAUGGAGGUUGUGACUGGCAGCUGUAGCUGCCAUUCUGCUACCUGUUGAGUGGCCUUGGAACUCUUAGACAAAUGACAUGACAGGUGCACUUUCAGCUUAAGUACCUGCUCCUCUACAAAGCAGCUGGGGCGAUUGCUGGUCGGUUGCACAAGACAAAGAAAACAACAGCAAGUCUGCUCUGAAUUACACUAUGUUUGCUCAUAUUUUCCAGUUCUGCUCUCACCAACAUUCUGUCUGUAGCUGUCGAAUAAACCCUUUUAUUUAUUUAUUUAUUUAUUUUGAAGAACACUCAAAUAAACACACACUCAAGAAACUGUUACAGCUGCAAGGUCAGAAUGAAGCACUUAAGGCAUAAAUUUGAGAUGUUUCGCAGGAUAAAUCUGGACAAAUUAGAUGCAGGCAUGUCAAAAAAUAGGGUAUAUUCGGUUUUAAUAUGAUGAUAA